UCCCUGGUGGCUCAGAUGGUAAAGAAUCUGCCUGAAAUGCACAAGACCUGGGUUUGAUCCCUGGGCAGGGAG
rnacentral:tRNA from 1 species